GAUGAACGCUGGCGGCGUGCUUAACACAUGCAAGUCGAACGAUGAUCCGGUGCUUGCACCGGGGAUUAGUGGCGAACGGGUGAGUAACACGUGAGUAACCUGCCCUUAACUCUGGGAUAAGCCUGGGAAACUGGGUCUAAUACCGGAUAUGACUCCUCAUCGCAUGGUGGGGGGUGGAAAGCUUGUUGUGGUUUUGGAUGGACUCGCGGCCUAGCAGCUUGUUGUUGAGGUAAUGGCUCACCAAGGCGACGACGGGUAGUCGGCCUGAGAGGGUGAGCGCCCAGAGUGGGAGUGAGACACGGCCCAGAGUCCUACGGGAUGCAGCAGUGGGGAAUAUUGGACAAUGGGCGCAAGCCUGAUCCAGCCAUGCCGCGUGGGUGAAGAAGGCCUUAGGGUUGGAAACCCCUUUCAGCGUGGAAGAUAAUGGCGGUACCCGCAGAAGAAGUCCCGGCUAACUCCGUGCCAGCAGCCGCCGUAAUAC
rnacentral:rRNA from 1 species